ACACACACACACACACACACACACACACACACACACACACACACACACACACACACACACACGUGCGCGUGCGCGCGCGCACAGACAGAAACAAAGGGACCCAUCAACACUAGCACGGACACGCACGCGCUCCAACUUUUUUUUUGUUGUUAUCCACCCAGCGGAUACCUCCGCGAGGCGCGAGCUGCUCCACUGUGUCCAGAUCUGUGGGAUUUUAUGGAACAAGACGUUUUACGACUGUGCUCAGUUUUGGGAUUUUUGAUUAUUUCAUUUAUGGAUUAAGGAUUACCCACAAUUCCUUUUUUUGUUACUGGAUUAUUACUCUGCACUGGGAUUAGUGCACCGUCCAUGAGGGGAGCGCAGCACGAAGCGUACUAAGAAAACCAGAGAGCAUGGGAGUGUUUUCUGCACCUUGAUCAAGAUAAGAUCUCUCUGUGGGCUGUGACUAAAGAACCCUACAGGGAACCGGUGGUUAUAUAACCAAGCAUAAAGAACUGUGAUUGAUCACGAUGUUCACGUCGGGACUCGUCAAGGAAACAGCAACGAGGAGGAGGAGGAAGAUUCAUCCUGAGUCACUGAGUGAAACUGUGAGCUGUCAGUGUGUGAGGACUGAAGACUGGAAGGAGAUGAAGCCCCUCUCUGUGAGGUCAGGAGCCACUAUUGAUUACCCGCCCAGCAGGAGCCCACUUGGACGUUUAAAGACUUUAUCAUCGUGCCAGAUGUGCGUAACAGCUGGGAGCCAGAUGCAGACUCAUACAUGCACAAAACGGCAUUUUUAUGUAAAUUUGGUGACAAUUUGACAAAUGAGCUGAUGGCAUAUGCACACGGGAGAACCUAGACUGAAAAAUAAUCAUAAAAAAAACAAAAACAAGGACAUGUGAUGUGGACUACCUGCGCAACGGAGCGUCAUGCAGCAUCAUGGCGUACCGAACAUCUCCUCCACCCCGAAGGAAAGAAACAAACGAUGAAAAGUGAAGUUUACAAAAAAAAAAAAAAAAAAGUGAAGUUUACAAGCCGGCUUUAUAGAAACCUUUUCCUUACACAGCAGGGGCUGAGUUCACUGAAAUGACAAUGCAGCAAGAGUGCAGAAUUCCUGUCGAUUUAUUUUUCCGUACAUUUUCUUGUGUCAUUUAUUUCAUACAACAUGAUAUUCUGUACAUGUUUCUCUUUCACGCACUUCUGUAUUCUGUGUACUUUGUGAUUAUGCAAACUUUAUUCUGGAAUUUGUGCCUAAAAAGUCGAAUCAAACUUAAUUCUGUUUUAUUUUCACUUUGAUAUUCUUUACACCACAGUAUUCCAGACACCUUGAAAUUAUAUUAUACUUGUAUAUUUCGUAUAUAUUUUCUACACUACUGUAUUCCGUACACUGUGUUUCGUACUGUUUUGUUUUCUUUAGUAUCUUGUUGUGUACACUGACAUUUUGUACAUUUUCUUAUUCCUCAUAAUUUAAUAUCCCUUACUCUUCAGUAUUUCGUGCACAUCGUUAUUUCGUGGUCUCUGAUAUUUUGGUAUUCCGUAGUCUUUAGUUUCUUUUUUUUCUGAACACAUUAGAAUUUUCUUCAUAUUUCUUACACUUCAGUAUUCUGUGCACUUUAUUUAGCCUAUUCUGAUAUUUUGUACACAUUGUUAUUCUGUAAUCUUUAUUUAAUUUUUUUUUAUACAGAACACUGCAGAAUUUUUGGUAUUGCGUAUACAUGAGUAUUGCGUAUACUUCAUGUUUUUUUUUUUUUGUUUUUUUUUUACAGUUUGUUUAUUUCCUACAUUUUACAAGUAAUAUACUACAUUCCCUUCACUUUCGUCUCCUGGCUAUGUUGGUAUUUUGUGUACGGUUUAGAUUUACUUUAAUUUGUACAUAUGGAAGUCCGUAUACUUCACUACCCUUCAGUAUUCCGUAGUCUUCUGUGUUUUUUUUCUAUUUGGAACAUUGUGGAAGUUUGUAAAACGAUUUUGUAAAUUCUGGUAUUCUAUAAUAUACAGGUAUGCUUCAGCAUUCCCUGAAUGUACACUUUGGAAUUCUGUAGACUUCGUAAUUUUUUUGCAUAUUUAGAAUACUUUGGAAUUUUGUACACAAUCGUACAUCAUUAUUUCUUGCACUUUGUUAUUUCCCAUACGUCUGUAUUACAUAUACUUUGGUAUUUUGGACAACAACCUCAUUCUUAUUUUCUACAUUUUAGUUUGCCGUACUUUUGCAUUCUGAAGAGUUUGGAAUUUUGUAUACUAGAAUUCUUAACACUGUUGUCUUACACUGCUAUUCGGUGCUAUUAUGGUGUGUGUGUGUGUGUGUGUGUGUGUGUGUGUGCAAGUGUGUGUGUGAGACCCAACAAAUUCAUGCUUCUGAUUAAAUCCUGGCAAGGAACACUCUGAGAACCCGUCCCAAAUGCAGAAUACACACUAGUGAGCCUCCUUUGUUGUGGCUGCUGAACUUCUCCUCUGGAAAACAUCACAAAGGUGGUUCCACCACCGCAGAGCGAUUUGCCCCACAGUUAAAGCUGAAGUUAUGGCACGUUGUUGAUGCCUGAAGGACGGCUGGAGAAAAUCACAGAAAUUCCAAACGUUUGAUGACAUCAUGAGCAAAAUGGUGGCAUGUGUGUAGCUCUUCAAAUUCCCUGACAUUCUUGCUGCAGUAUCAGGACAGUUAUGGAUUUUUUUGUUGAAUUCCUAGAAGAGAAACCAUCCAAACGAUCAAACACAUGUGCUAGGACGAUCUUUAGGGUUCUCAGGUUGUUUCUCUGGAGAAAACCUUAAAAGCAGUGGCAAAUAACCCUUCAUUAUACAAAGAGCCUUUUUAUUUAGCUAGCUGAGAAUUCCUAGGUGCAGGAAUUGCGUCUCAGACAGAACGCUGGUCACUACUGUACAUAGGCACCGUUUUUAGGUCUAAACAAAUAAUGCUCUGUUCCUUUCAUAGUAUCACUAAUCAGCUAAUUCUGCUCAAUUUUCUCAAUUUCAAAAUUCUAAAUUUUUCACAUGUAAAUAUUGUGUUUCUUGUAGUUGACAGUCAUGUUUGUUCUUUUGUCUUGUUAGCUAGCUAGCUGUGGAAGCUGCUAACAUUCUCAGUCAGUCUGAUAAUCUAGCGAGAAGAACAAAUGCGCUGAUGAUGAUGAUGAUGAUGACGAUGACGAUGAUGACAUUCCUAAAUGGUCAAGUUUUACAGUUAAAUCAGAGCAGACUUUCACUAUCUACUGUAAUUAAGCUAAGAGUAUAUGUCGGUAAUAGCACACUAAAGUGUUCUAAACCUCUUUUGUAGCUAAAUGUCUAAUUUGUGGUAAUAUUUCUCCUUGUGUUAGCCGAAGUCACUCAUCACAUGAUCUUGACGCUAUAAGACUAGCAUCAAUAUAUAAUAUUUAGCCGAGAAAGUCACUCACUUGGCUAGCUAGCUAGUUAUUUACUGAGUUCUGAACAGUGAUGUGUUUAAAGCUUCUCUUUAUACUUCAAAAUCAGGUGUUAAUAAAAUAUUUUUGAAACACAAAUAUAAUUCAAUAAAAUCUUGAGCCACUAAAAAACUUGGGUUCUUUCUUUCUUUCUUUCUUUCUUUCUUUCUUUCUUUCUUUCUUUCUUUCUUUCUUUCUU